rnacentral:rRNA from 1 species
UACAGAGGGGGCAAGCGUUGUUCGGAAUUACUGGGCGUAAAGCGUGCGCAGGCGGUUCGCUGUGUCCGAUGUGAAAGCCCCGGGCUUAACCUGGGAAUGGCAUUGGAAACUGGCGGGCUUGAGUGUGGCAGAGGGGGGUGGAAUUCCGCGUGUAGCAGUGAAAUGCGUAGAUAUGCGGAGGAACACCGAUGGCGAAGGCAAUCCCCUGGGCCUGCACUGACGCUCAUGCACGAAAGCGUGGGGAGCAAACAGG